CCCUACGGGGUGCAGCAGGCGAGAAAACUUUGCAAUGUGCGAAAGCACGACAAGGUUAAUCCGAGUGGUUUCUGCUAAAGGAACCUUUUGUCAGUCCUAGAAACACUGAUGAAUAAGGGGUGGGCAAGUUCUGGUGUCAGCCGCCGCGGUAAAACCAGCACCUCAAGUGGUCAGGAUGAUUAUUGGGCCUAAAGCAUCCGUAGCCGGCUCUGUAAGUUUUCGGUUAAAUCUGUACGCUCAACGUACAGGCUGCCGGGAAUACUGCAAAGCUAGGGAGUGGGAGAGGUAGACGGUACUCGGUAGGAAGGGGUAAAAUCCUUUGAUCUAUUGAUGACCACCUGUGGCGAAGGCGGUCUACCAGAACACGUCCGACGGUGAGGGAUGAAAGCUGGGGGAGCAAACCGGAUUAGAUACCCGGGUAGUCCCAGCUGUAAACCAUGCAAACUCAGUGAUGCAUUGGCUUGUGGCCAAUGCAGUGCUGCAAGGAAGCCGUUAAGUUUGCCGCCUGGGAAGUACGUACGCAAGUAUGAAACUUAAAGGAAUUGGCGGGGGAGCACCACAAGGGGUGAAGCCUGCGGUUCAAUUGGAGUCAACGCCAGAAAUCUUUACCCCGAAGACGCAGAAUGAAGUCAAGCUGAGACUUUACCAGACAGCUGAAAAGAAGUGCAUGGCCAGGGC
rnacentral:rRNA from 1 species